UACGUAGGUGACAAGCGUUGUCCGGAUUUACUGGGCGUAAAGAGCGCGCAGGCGGUCGUUCAAGUCGAGUGUGAAAGCCCCCGGCUCAACUGGGGAGGGUCAUUCGAUACUGAUCGACUCGAAGGCAGGAGAGGGAAGUGGAAUUCCUAGUGUAGCGGUGAAAUGCGUAGAGAUUAGGAAGAACACCAGUGGCGAAGGCGACUUACUGGACUGUAACUGACGCUGAGGCAUGAAAGCGUGGGGAGCAAACAGG
rnacentral:rRNA from 1 species